rnacentral:rRNA from 1 species
GACGAACGCUGGCGGCGCGCCUAACACAUGCAAGUCGAACGGAGUCAAGAGGAGCUUGCUUUUCUUGACUUAGUGGCGAACGGGGGAGUAAAGCGUGAGUAACCUGGCCUGGAGUGGGGGACAAAAGUUGGAAACGACUGCUAAAAACGCAUAAGCGCACGAAUACGCAAGGAUCUGCGGGAAAAGGAUUUAUUCGCUUCAGGAUGGCCUCGCGUCCCAUUAGCUAGUUGGUGGGCUAACGGCCCAACAAGGCGACGCUUGGUAGCCGGACUGAGAGGUUGGCCCGCCACACUGGGACUGAGACACAGCCCAGACUCCUACAGGAGGCGGCAAUGGGGGAUGUUGCACUGUGGGGUGAACCCUGAUGCAGCGCCGCCGCGUGAAUGAAGAAGGUUUUCGGAUUGUAAACUCCUGUCGUUAGGGUCGAUAAUGACGGUACCUAACGAGAAAGCACCGGCUAACUACGUG